GUGUCAGCAGCCGCGGUAAUACGUAGGAGGCGAGCGUUGUCCGGAGUUACUGGGCGUAAAGGGCCUGUAGGCGGUGACGUAAGUUUGGAGUGACAGUUCCCGGCUUAACUGGGGAAGGCCUUCGAAAACUGCGUGACUUGAGGACUUGAGAGGAAGGCGGAACUCCGGGUGGAGCGGUGAAAUGCGUAGAGAUCCGGAAGAACACCAACGGCGAAGGCAGCCUUCUGGGAAGUACCUGACGCUGAGGGGCGAAAGCUAGGGGAGCGAACGGGAUUAGAUACCCGAGUAGUCC
rnacentral:rRNA from 1 species